rnacentral:rRNA from 1 species
UGGGGAAUUUUGCACAAUGGGGGAAACCCUGAUGCAGCGACGCCGCGUGAUUUAGAAGGCCUUCGGGUUGUAAAAAUCUUUUCUAUGGGAAGAAAAUGACAGUACCAUAGGAAUAAGGACCGGCUAAUUACGUGCCAGCAGCCGCGGUAAUACGUAAGGUCCGAGCGUUGUCCGGAAUCAUUGGGCGUAAAGGGUACGUAGGCGGGUAAGCAAGUUAGAAGUGAAAUCCUGUAGCUCAACUACAGUAAGCUUUUAAAACUGCUCAUCUUGAGGUAUGGAAGGGAAAGUGGAAUUCCUAGUGUAGCGGUGAAAUGCGCAGAUAUUAGGAGGAAUACCGGUGGCGAAGGCGACUUUCUGGCCAUAACCUGACGCUGAGGUACGAAAGCGUGGGUAGCAAACAGG